ACGUCCUUAGUUCAGAUGGUAGAACGUAAGUUUCCAAAACUUAGUGUCGGAGGUUCAAGUCCUUCAGGACGUG
rnacentral:tRNA from 1 species